GAAAAUGCAUAAAUGCAUUUUACUAAAGAGUAGACUGGCUGUCUUGUACCCAGCUGUUGCAAGAAACAUGGAUCUGAAGAGGACACAGAAAGAACUUCCAACGGCCAAAGCAACAUAAACAGUUAGAAGUGUAGAGGUUUCAACAGCAGGUUUCACAUCCUCUGAAGCAGGAGUUGCCCAAGCCAUCCAGUAAUUGCUUCCAAUUUGAAGGACCUGAAAGAGAACCUGUCCAAGCAAGAUAAACGGAACAAGAGCACCUCCGUAUGCUGUGGUGAUGUACUUCCAGUAGACUGACAACCCAACUCUACCUUUCUCUCUCUCUUCUUCUUGAACAAGCUGCCCUUUUGGUAAAUCAUCUGUUUUAGAAUUUUGAACAUCAGUGUCUUCUACGUUUUGGACAACCCCACUAGUACUAGCAAAUUCUCCAUCUUCUUUGCUAACGCUUAUUUUUUCAACUGGCUCCAUCUCUGCAGAAUUAAGCACGGACAAAGCUUCUGCGUGUGCUCCCACAAGCUCCAUAAAAUCAGUUCCUGAAUUAAGAAUGUCAUUGAACUUUCCUGCUUGAGUAAUCCUUCCGUCUUUCAUGACCUAAUGACAAACAAUAAGUUUAAGCAGACAGAUACUAACUAGAUAAUAACAUAUCUUAUAGAUUAAAAUUCUAAGAAAAGCUCUGGAUUUUUUUUACCAAGAUGAGGUCAGCAGCAGGUAAGAACUCCACUUGAUGAGUAACAUAGAUUACUGUUUUUGAACCCAAGAGACCCAGCAAGCAUUCCUGUAGUGCAAUUAUCAAGCAAACAAAUUAAUAAUGAACUGUCAAUUUUACGGAUGCAUAUGCCAAUAAUUCUAUGAUGUAAAUAAUUUUGGAUACUCAAUUUAAACUAGAUGUAAUCACACUACAAGAGGGAAAUGAAACACCUUAAAAAGGUGUGAUCCUGUAUGAGCAUCAACAGCGCUAAAAGGAUCAUCAAACAGAUAAAUAUCAGCGUCUUGAUACAGAGCACGUGCAAUUUGUAUUCUUUGCUUCUGCCCACCACUUAAAUUGAUUCCCCUCUCCCCUAUAAUUGUCUGAUCACCAAACGAUAGAAUUUCCAGGUCCUUCUUUAAUGAACAUGCGUCCAGCACCCUCUCAUAUCUUUCUCUGUCCAUCUCUUGACCAAACAAUAUGUUUUCCUCUAUCUUGCCACUCUGUAUCCACGGUGACUGAGAAACAUAGGCCUUUGUCCCACACAUUUUAAGAGUCCCCGAUAUCUUCGGAACUUCUCCCAGAAUACAAGAAAGUAAGCUAGACUUGCCUGAGCCAACAGUACCACAAACAGCAACCCUCAUACCUUGGCUCACUUUGAAAUUUAGAUCCUUCAAUGUUGGACUAGGGGAUGAUAAAUCCCAAGAGAAAUUCCCAUCGACUAUCUCAAUUGCUGUAUCAGAACUACCUCUUGGAAGGUUCUCUAUAACGUCAGGCAGCAAGUCAUCAAGACUAAGGAAUGAUGCAAUUCUAUCAAGGGAUACCUUAGUUUGUGCUAUCAUUGAAAUUGUGUCUGGAAGAUUGUAGAUAGGCUCUUGAAGAAUCCUGAAUGUUGCAAGUGCAGAUAAGAUCUUCCCGGACUCAAGUGGGAUCCCCAAAAGCAUGCAAGCAACGAAAGUGACCACUGACACAAAUGUGGGGGCACCCCAGAAAACAAAUGAGGUCAUGGCAGACGUGUAAACAAACUUUCGUAACCAUCCUGCCUCAGUCUUCCUGAGCUCAUUAAUUUUAGACAAAAACUUCAUCUCCCAUGCUUGAAGCUUGAGAAUCCUCAUGUUCCUCAAGACCUCAGAUGUUGCCUUCAUCCUUUUAUCUUUCGACUCCAUUAACUUUUCCUGAAACUUCUCCUGCAAGGACCCCAAAGGAACAUUUGCCAACAUAACAAUUAUUGUUGCAACUAAAGUUGCAAUGGCUGCAAGACCAAGAUUUAUGUACAAAAUCACUAGGGCCAAGCCAACUUGUAGAAUGACCAUCCAUGGAUCAUGCAUGAACCAAGAGAAGUCACCAACCCUCUCAGCAUCAACAGUCAUAAAAUUGAUAAUCUCACCGCUAGUGUGGCCCUGCUUGGACUGGCAUGAGAGGGUCAAACCCUUAUUAUAGAUCGCUGUAACAAGUACUGCUCGGAUUCUUACUCCUACCUGUUGUGCCUUAAAGAACCAGUGCCUUUGACUGAGGCACUCCACCAGCUUCGCAAUCAUAAAUGCAGAAACCAAAGCGUAGCCUUCAUUUUUGAACUUUCUCCGCCCAUAGAGGUAUUGAACAAAUGUGUCGAUUAGAUAUGGACCGACAUAAGAUGCCAAUGUGUAAAAUAUAGCAUAUAACCCUGUCCAGCCAACCUCUUUCCAGGCCGAGAAUAUCAAUGCCUUCACCAGAUGAAAUGUGGUAACCCUGCCAUCCGCACCACACUCCGCCUCAAGUUUAUUUCUAAAAUUUGGAAAGGACCCAACUACACUAUCACCCUUGUAUAGUUCAGGAACAUCCUCAAGGUCUAAUGUCUUCUUAUUGCCAAGCGCAAUUAGAGGACCCAUCCAAGAAAGAGUAAGGAGGCUGAAAAUUCCAGCAUUUGAAUAAGGGGUAACAGGUGUACGCCCUUUGGAAUUAUUUGACUCUGCAUUACCAUUACCAUUACCAUUCAAAAGGGGUUCCUCAAGAACUGUAUUUCUGCCCUCUUUCUUCCCAAAAAACCCCACAUAUAUAAAGAACAAACCCGAGAUGACGCAGACAACAUCAAAAACUAAAGAUUGAACGGGCAAGGAAACGUGUUCCUUGUAAAGAAGGAUAUCUAUCACAAGGGAAUAGCAAGAGAUAGAAAAGUAGGAACCCCACCAAAGUCUCAAUAAAUUUGGGAACUUUGAUUCAGAAGAAUUAGAGAACUGGGUAUGCAAGUAGAUACAAAGAGCACCCCAGGCAAGUGUUCUAAUGGCUAAAUCAAAAAGGGUCACUAGCUUUUCCUCAGACCAAUCAUUUCUAUGCCAAUAGAAGUAGUUCAAUAAACAAAAAACAAGACUGAGCCCAGAAACACCAAGACAACAGAGUAAAGUUAGCUUAUAAUACCAACUUUGAACACUCCCAAACCUCUGUUUUGGACCUUCUCCAUCACCCACCUUGAAUUUCUUCCACACCCAAGAGACGAGCAACACAAAUAACAAAACUAGGUGUAAUGAGCCAGAAAACCCACGUAUGAAAACCGGUUUGAGAAGAAAAUCGGUACCUGGAUACGUAAUGAAUGAUGAUGAGUAGUGUGAGAAGAAGGCUGAGAGAGCACCGUGCUUUGAAGAAUCAAAAAGCUCCAUAAUUUGUGGAGCUUUUUGUUGGGGGCUCUCUGAAAUUCUGGAAAAUGGGGUUUUGGUUGGAAUGGUUUGUUAUAUAGAGGGGAGAGAGAGAGAGAGAGAGAGGGAGAGAGAGAGAGAGAGAAAUUAGUUUGUGGACGACUCAGGGAGUGUAGUCAGAGAAUGGAGAGUCAAAUGUCAAUGUGAAUUUUUCCUGGAAGGUAGGCUAACGUGGUGCCCAAGACUCACAUCACGGAGAUAGCUAUAGAUGGCUGCAAAGUGACGCAGAAAAUUGUUGGUUCCAGGAAAUAUGUGAACUGAUGAUAGAGAGCGAUAGACCAAUCCAUUAUAAUCUCUCUCUUGUAGAGCCCACCAAAUUGUAUUUUAUCAAUUUAAACCUUCUAUUUUUUAGAUAUUUAUUCAAAAAUUAGCUCUAUUUAAAUAAAAUCAUUCUAUAUAUUUCUGUGUUUGAGGAAAAUUAUCAUAUAAAAUUGUUAUGUAUAGUUGACUUUGACUAAAGAGAUUCUAUAUGUGAUAUUUUUAUCUGUGGUGGGGAAAUGAGAGAACUUGAACCCAGCUUUGACACACAUAACAACAACAACAAAAAAACAAAAAAAAUAUAAAAAGAAACUGGAAAAAGUAUAUGGUAGAGAGGAAAGUUAGUGUAUGGUAGAGAGGAAAGUAAGCAAAUCCCGAUCACACAAGCCAGCCCUACAACCAGCUAAUGUCUGAGUUUACAACCAAUCUCUAUUAAAGAGCAAGACCCACCAUGAUGUGAUGUGGUGAAUGUGGUUUUGUGUGCACAGCAAGAUAAUUGAUAAUUUUGGAUCUUCUUGUGUUAAAUCAUAUGCUGGACUUACUAAGGUAAAAUAAGAAAAUAAGGGCAUAUCUGGUAAUGUUUUUAUAGAAUAUUUUUAGAGAAUGCUUUCAGAGAAUGAAAACGAGAAAACGAAUUUGCAUUUUCAGAAUUCAAGAAUGCAUCUGGUAGAUUAAUUAGAAAACAUAUUCAGAAUAUAAAAACAAUGAGAACAUGUCUGAUAGUACAAUUUGAGAAUAAUAAUAUGUGAGCUAUUUUUCAAGUGUAUUUUUGAUAAUGUAUGUUCUAAACAAAAUAAUUAAAAAUUAAUAAAAUUCUAAUGUUAGAAAAACCUAGAAUUAUCUUUAAUAAUAAGUGAAAAUGAUAAAUAAAAAAGUUGAAUUUUGUUGGUUAAUUGAUAAACUGAACAAGUAUGCAUCUAAGAAUAGUUUUUUAUACACACAAAUUUUUUUUUUCCCCAAAAUAAAUACAGAUUAUUGAGUAAAGAACUUCUUGUAGUAGGAUAUGAGAAUAAAAUAAACAAUGAAGUGUCAUUUCUUUUCAACUUUUGUUUUUUCAUUAAUAUUUUUUAAUGUUUAUUGUAACAAAAAAAACUAAAAUGAUCUGAAACUAAUGUUUAAUUAAAACAAGAUUAUAAAAUAAAAUAAAAAUGUUAGCACACUUUUUCUUCCUCCUUCUUCUCGACUUUUCUUCUCCCAAUUCACAAACUCCCCACUGCCCACCUCCCCUCUUUUUUCACUUUCACUUUCACUCUCUCAUCUCUUUUCAUACAUCCUCUCCUCCCAUGUGUGCUGGUGUCGCUUGGGUUUAUAUAAUACAUGUGAAAACAGCAACAAAAUCACACUGAAACACAUAAUUCAAAUCAAUAACUAUCACCCUCGAUUUGUUCAAUUGGGUUGGCGGUGGCUAUUACGGUUCGAGUGAUUGGGUGGUGAUGGUGGAGGGAGGCUAUGGCUUUGAGGAGUUUGAUUCAAGCCAAGGAUCUGAUUGUGGUGAAGGCUGUGGCCUUGGAGUCAGAGUGGGUCUCACAAAAGAAGGCAAAGAGAGAAAGGAAGAGACAGAGGGGUGUUUAAUUUUUGGGUAUGGGAUUUGAGAAAGGUGAGAAUGGAAUAGAGCAUGAUGAUGUCUUGUUCCAGCUUUAUUAUAGCAUCCACAGUGGGGGUGUAAAUUCGGGGGUGUAAAGCCACUUUUAUAUCCUAUUUACACCCCCGGGGUUGUAAAUACGUUUUUGGCUCCAAUGAAAAAAGAUAUAAAUCUAAGAUGUAUAAUUGUUUUGUUUGUCAUAAUUUGUUUUUGUGUUAAAUUUGUAUUUUGUGUUUACUUUAUAAAAUUAAAUUUUUUUGUAUUAGGUUAAUUUUAAUUUUUCAAACAAAUAGAUUUAAAAAUAUUUAAAUUCGAAAAAGAUAUGAUUUCAUCCAAAAACAUUGGGGAGCAUGAAAAUCACAAAUGAGCAAACAACAUCUGAUUUUUUUUUCAGCAAUUACUGUAGCCGCGGGUCCCAGCCUUUUAUGUUGACUUUUCUUCAUUUUUCUUCUCUUUUCUCGGGUGGAUCCCGCCUACAAAAGAUGUAAAAAUAGAUGUAAAUGUACAUUUUAUUUUACAUCUCUAUGGUGGUGAUGUAUAUUUACAACCCUUUACAUCUCUCCAUUAAAGACGAUUCCGGUGACAAGGGGUGUAUAUUUAACAUACACUCCCAUAUACACCCUCCUAUUGUGGAUGCUUUUAUGUAAAAUUGUUUGGGCAUGGCAAGAAUGUAAUCACAAAACAGUCAUUUUAUAUGCAACGCCAAAGUGACUUGGGGAGUUCAGGUUUAAGCAUGGCAGGAAUGGAUAGCCAUGGUCGGGACUCGGGACUGUAAUUAAAGGGAGGUGGGUGGCAUGUGAUCAAAAUUAACAAAAAAUUAGAAGGGCUUAAUUCUUAUUAUCCUUAUGUUCUGCUCUUACUUAAUUCUUAUUAAAAUGUAAUGGUAAGUUUUUUGUUUUUCAUUUCUUAAAUGUUGAAUGAGAUAUUGAUCAAAUAAGAAAAUUGAUAAACAAGAUAUUGUCAAUGGGAGCUGUUAGUGGCAAUCAAAAAUGUCAUAUUGCACUCAUCGUUUGUAAUUAUAUAAGGGAAAAUUACAUGAUGAUUUUUUUAAGUGCCAAAAAUAGUUCCUUUUAAUUAUAAUAUGAAAGCUAGAAAGUUGAUAUAGAUACAAAUUCUCAUUGAGGAGUUGGGGUUAAUCUUUAGAUUUGAUGACUUAGAUCUAAAUUAUUUAACUUUCCUGCCACAUAGGAUUACAUUCCUUUUUAAAAUAGGGUAAAGUACCGAAUACUCCUUUGAACUAUCAUCCUUGUUGAAAUCUACAUCCAGGAUUAAUUUUUCAGCCAAUUUAGGCAUUGUACUAAAUUUUAUCGCCAAUUUACCACUCACUGUUAAUUUUUGACAAUUUCUGUUCAAAUCUCUGUUAAAAAAGUCACAUGUCAGGCACAUGAUUUAUUGUUGAAUUAAAAAUUAAUUUUUUUAACCUCUUUCUUAUACUCUCUCUCUCUCAGCUAGUCUCGAACCCGGAUGGGUUUUUGGCUUUGAACACAAUCCCAAGCUACUGGAGACCAGCAAAUAUUUUUUUUCUUCCCUGCUUCGCCAAAGAGCUCGAAUGAGAGAAAUCAAUCGAAGAGAGAAGAGGUUAAAAUCAAUCGCCGGAAAAUCCAAAUUGGGGGCUGGGUAAUAUGGGUUUCGAUUGUGUUGGUUUUGGGCACAGAUAUAUUUAAGUAGGCUGCGGAGUAGAGGAAUGAAAAAUUGAAUUUACUUCCUGCAAAAUUUUAUUAAGAUGCUGGAUACAAAUUAAACCUUACUUUAAAGAAAAAAUUUCUAGGGUAGAGGAUUGCCAAAAGCAAGCUAAAUAUCCGAGUAAGGCAGCAUCAGGUGGCUAACAAUAAUUACAUCCUCAUCCCGUUUCAACAUACCAGAUCAGAGAGCCUUGAUAUCUACCUUCCCUUGACACACACUUGACAAUUGAGGUACUUCGCCAAGAUAUCUGUUCACACAUAUCUCCAACAACUGCUUCUCCGCAGGUUUCAGCAGAGAACCCAGACUCAAAUUCUCAUUUAUGAGACCUUUCAACAGCAGAACUUUAACAACAGAGCACCUUGGAAUAAGUCAAAUUGAACCAAAUUGGGGGCGGGGGUUUUGGAAGAGAUUUUUUGGCGAUUGUCUUGGCUAUUGUUGGGGUAGGGUGAGCUGAGGCAUAGGAGGAAGAAACAGGGAGAGAGAAGAAGAGACGAGGAGAUAGAGAGAGGGUUCGCAAGGGAGCCAGGUAAUUUCGGUUGCAGGGAAUCACGUGGCUAACAUGUCAAAUCUAGACGGAAAAUUGGAUGAAAUUGCAUGAAAACUGACGGUAGGGGUUAAAUUGGCCAUUUAAAAUAAUAUGAAGGAUAAAAUGGCUGAAAAAAUAAUUCAUGGUGGAGAUUUGGAUAAUUAAUAUAGUUCGGGGGUAUUCGGCAGUUUACCCUUUUAAAUAUAUUAUGAUGUAAUCUUUUUAUUUUUUUAUUUUAAAAUUAUUUUUGUUCCAAUGAUGCCUUUAUUCGGGUAAUAGUGUUUUAUGUCAUAAUAAUUAGCCAUUUACAAUAUUUGGCAUUGACUACAAAAGGCAGAUACAGCAGACGGGAGAAGCUAUUUAUAUUUUUUGGCAUUGAUAUAAUUGACUGUGUGGGGGUCUUUUUCUUCCGGCAGCUGCAAAUGGGCUGGGCUGCCGUAAAGGGGAAAUUACUGAAAUUGCCCCCUGUGCUUGAGUUCGAAAAUUAAGCCCCAAAAGCACUUCGAAAGGGCAGUAAAGCCUUAGGAAGUGUUCUGGUUACCUUCACCAACGAAAAUGAUGGCUGCUUACAGGUGAUUUAUGCUUGCUUACAGAUAAAGUUUUAGCUUAGCAUGAGGAGAUUGUGGCAUGGGAGCAAGGUCAGCAUGAGUUGAGCACCAAAGAGGAAAAUAAGGCUUCCUAGGGAGAAAUGGGAGUGUUUAAGAUGAGGGAGACAAGGUUUGCAGGAUGAUCUUGGCUAAAAAGGGGUAAAGGAAGGGCAUUACUUCUUCCGGCAGCUUGACAGACUCUGAAAAUAGUCUGUUAACAGAGAAGAACGAAGAAGAAGAGUGAAUAGGGCUACUGGAUUUUUACAAGUAAGAGAGGAAGCUUGCUCUCUCAGCCUGGGUUGGUUUUUGCUAGGUGGAGGGGACCUCCUUUUAUAGCUGCGGGAAACUAUCCUUUCCCAAGAAACCCUAAUGGUUUCUUCCCAAUCUUGGCAAGUCUUUCCAUCCUUUUUCCUCUCUUCUCUUGACUUUCCUAUCUGGGUGAGAUUUCCCCUUAUCUAUUUGCACAAAAUCAGGAGUUUUGGAGCUCAAGACCCCUUUUCCCGCGGCUGCUUCAGUAGGAAGCUCCACUCUUGGCUACUUUUCUUCUUCUUUCCCUUCUCCUUCCUGGGCCAGCACCGAUAAGGGAAAACAACUGGGUGUAUAUGCUGGUUUGAAAGGGUACUCCUCUUCCUGACAACUUACAUGCUAAUAUCCCUUGGUCUCUCUAGUGUUUUGUUUUGGGACUUGAUCCAUUCCCAUGUGCUGGCACUUUCCAGCAGCUCUGUUCAGUGAACCUGCAGACCUCCUCUACGUGGCUUCUACUUUUCUAGCAAAGGGCUGAGGCUUUUGUGGCUUGUUGUGGAAUUUUGUAUGGGCUAAGGUACUUCAUUAAAUAAGUGGGCUAUUUAAACAUUGGGCUUUUGGUUGGGCUAUCCUUUGACUGGGCUAAUUUUGGUUGGGUUAUUUUGAUUGAGUUAUUUUCCCCUCUUUGCUCACCCAUAUAUUUGGGCCUAAGAAAUGGGCUUGGGUUCCGAGGCUCCCAAGCAACUCGGAACCUCCAUUUCUCGUCCCAUCAAUGGGCCUCAUGACCACCUAUUACCAUCCAUACCACAACCCACUCAAGCAAGCCCCAGGCAUCUUGCGUGGCUUGGGCCCACUUAAGCUUGUAGCAUGGCAUGUUGUUUAUUUGCUUGGCGUGGCAUGUGUAUAAGCGCAUAUGGCAAACUUUCGCGUGCCCCAAAUUGGGUUUCUUCUCGGUAAGAUAUCGCAUUGGGCUGAGAAUUUAUUUGGGCCGAAGCGUGGAUUUUUUGGGCCUCAACAGACUGCUUGAUUCUUUUUUAGUUUUUCCAUUAGGGAGUGUAUUCAAUUGAGAUUUUAAAAGACUAUUUUGAGAUAAAAAAGUCUUUUGGUAUUCAAGUUAGACUUUUAAAUAAUCUAAACAAGUUUUGUAGUAUUUCAUUAAGACUAUUAGGAUUUUUAAAAGAGAGUGUCGAAAUCACGUGGCAUUCAAUUAAGACUUUAAACAAGUAACAAAAAUUCUUAUGGUAUUCAAAAACUUGCUAAUUUCGAAAGAUUUUUUAAAAUAUGGAAUUAUGUGGGACUUUUUAGUGGGAGUUAUAAAUACUAAACCUUAUCUCAAAUCUCACCCUAACCUAUGAGAUUUUUCACAUGAAAAUUUUUUUUUUCUCGGGAAAAGAUGAACUUACAUGCACAAAAGGCUUCUCUCUGUGCAUCUCUCGUAUGCGGGUUUAGUUCAAUCGUGCGAAGAGAAGUUGCUCGUGGUACCAAAGCCUCACACCCAGUUGCUGAAUUUCAAUUUUCUCACUCUAUCUCUAAUGGCGGAGCAAAUAGCUCUCCCUCUACUCCUUCACAACCCAGCCCAAAUUUUUGUUAAAAAAAAUUACCUACACUACAUAUGUUCAGCCCACUUAAAUUAUACAAACCUAUCAAACACACCAUCCCAUCCUCCCGUGCAAUUCUUCUCCUCCUUUGCAAAACAGACAUAAGUUCUCUGUAGCCAGCCAACAACUCCUCUCUGCAGCCACUGCCAACAACUCCGCUCAACUUCUCUGCAGCCAGCAACUUCUCUUCUUGGCAACAACAAGUAUUCUUCUCAUUCUCUCCUUUUUAAUUAUCUUAUGCAUCUUUAAUUUGAAUAGAAAAUAUUCUAGGGUUUAAUUAGGAAUGACUUAUAAUUUGGAGAUUUGUUGAAAUUAAUUAGGGUUUUGAUUUUAGAAAUUUUGUUGAGAUGUUCAAUGUGUUGUUGGUAUUGUUGAUAUUUGAUUUGUGUGUUGGUAUGUUUGAUUAAAUGCAUUAAUUUGUUGUUGGUAUUGUUGAGGUGUUUGAUUUGUGUGUUGGUAUUUUUGUUGAAAUGUUUGAUUAAAAUCAUUUCUACAUAUUAUUUAUUUUAUAGGUUAUCUCUUAUUGUGUCUGCUCACAAUCGGAACCCCAAGAAAAUAAUGACUUUGUUGUCUUUUUUUAAGAAAAAGAAUGAUGACAUCAUCUAAUACAAAUAUCAAUUAUCUUGAACAUGAUCCAGAAGUACGUCAUCUAAUAUGCAAAUAUUCGGUGAAGGAACAAGAUAAUGUGCAAAGAGCAUAUAUUCUUUUAGGGUCAUGUCAACCCGAAUUAGAAGAUUAUUCAAGCCACUUAGAAGGGAAAAUCUUACGUUGAUUUAAUAAAAAGUGGUUUGGCCAAUUCUCUUGGCUUGAGUAUUCAGUUGCUACGAACAAGGCAUUUUGUUUUUCUUGUUUCCUAUUUGAUAGAAAUCAAUAAUUUUCGGCCUUGUUUUCCUUGGUUCCUAUCUACAGCAAUAACGGAAUGAGUUUUCUUAUGUAUGAGAAUUAUUGAAUCAACUUAGAAGCACCAAAGGUGAUGAAUUUCUUGCUGAUUGUAUGAUCCUCCACAUUGAAAGAGAGUUUGCCAAUACUAUCGACAAUGCAUCAAUAAUUGAGGAAUUUAAGAGUUCUAAGCCUCGUAGGGUUAAAUUUUAUAUUUAAAUAAUGUUGUUUUGUAUUGCAUUACAUUGCAUUUACUUUUGGUUUUUAUUUUAGUUUUUGUAUUUGUAGAUAUAUAUGAAUUUGAGGGUAAGGCUCAUUACGCUCCCCCUCACUAUAUGUAUCUUUUUAUGUUUAUUAAUAAAAUUCACUCGUACCAUCGAGUUUAGUACAUAAAUUUUGCCCGGUCAGCUUUUGAAUCCUAUGACCGCCACUGCACCACCCUCUUCAAGACCCUUCUUCCAAAACCAAAACCCAGCCACACCAACACCACCUCCACUUCCUCCACCACCAUCGCCGCAGAUAACCCCUCUUCUCUAAGAGCUCCUCCUCCACCCAAACCCCUCAACCCAAAACCGAACCUCCCCUCCCACCCUCGCCAGAGCACGCACUCGCAUCGGCAAGUCACGUGAUGGUAGAACCUUAUAUCUGAAAAAGAAAAGUUGCAAAAAAAUAGAGAAAAGAGAAAAGGAAAUUCAUUUUAUUUCAUUUCAUUAAUUCCUCUUAAGCAAAAGAGAGAGCGUUUAUACAAUUCCUGAUUUUGGCCAGCUGGCUAUGAUCUAGCAAAGUUUCUAACAAAACUUCCUACAAAUAGGGAAAGGACAAAGUUGUUAUUAUGUGUGGGAAUAGCUAGGUGAUGAUACUAAGGGAAUACAAAGGUGAUAGUAAGUGGGCUGCUGUUCACCUGUUUCGUGGUUGUUCCUGUAAUGCUAGGGUGAAGUUCCCCAUUGCCUUGAAAACCAUUGCCUGGUCAACAAGUCAACUUUUUUUAGUGUGCGAGCGUGCCACUGCUAGUAACGAAAAAUCCUAGCAGACUUCGAAAACAGAUAACUUGCGCCCCAAGUUAUUGAUUUCUAAACAAGCGAAUGCGAAUUUGGGUGAGGAAUAUCUCCCAAGUAAGUUCUUUUCUUGCCUCAGACUGGUGAGGACUUCACAAUUUUCACAGUGCAAUAUUGGUAGUUCUGGCUAGAAUAAAUAGUAAGAAAAUGGGUUGUUUUCAGGCAGAACUGACUUUUACAAAACUCGUAAUGGAAAAACCAACUCUAGAAAGACAAAAAGAAGGCUGGACUUCCAUUUCUACCUGGAUAGAUGCUUCUGAUCCGGGCUGGACUGGAUAUGCUUGUACUGGACUGGGCUGUCAGCAAGUUCAACUGUUAAGUUUCAGCUGUAAAUUGAUACCAACGUUCGAGUUUGGCAGAGCUUUAAUCUAUUUCAAGCCAUGGAAGGCUCUUUGAACGGACAGAAUUGCGGCCUCCUCAGUUUGAAAGGGGCAGAAGUGGCUAGAUUCAAGGAUUACUGAGCUGAUACUGCACUGUGAUGCCUGUUUUGCUUGAUCAGGGCUCUUCAUAAAUUUGUUGAGGUUUUCAUAUUUGUAAAAACCUAGGCUCUACUUGUCUUAGCUUUUGCUGAACCAAAUUUGCAACGAGAGAAAUCUCAUUUUAAAUGACUUUUCUCUAAGUCUGAAACUGAAUUGUAGCUGUCUUCUUUCUUGUGGCUCAGUGAGCUUUUGGUUGCUUCAGUUUGCUUGAAGUUCUUUUUGAGAUCAAGUGAUCAUUUUGAGUUUUUGUCAUUUGGCUGAUUUUUGGUUGUUUGAUUCAUUGUUCUUGAUCUGUUCACCUCCUCUCAUAUUUAUAGCAAAUGCUGGAGUGAGUAUUUUAAUCUUUUAAAAUGGGCGGCAGUUUUUCUAAAAAACAAGAUCUUUAUUUUUUUUUAGAAAAAAGGGAAGUUAUCUUUAUCAAAAAUAGACUAUCAAUGGUAAGUUUUAAGUCAAUCACUUCCCUACUUUUCUUUAAAAGACAAUCUAAUCUCUCUGCUCUUGUGAGAUUUCAAUCUACCAUGAUGGUUAGUUUGAUUUUCCAGAUGAGCAACUCCCUGCACCCUACUUAUCUGUUUAGAAAAUAUAGCCUGCUUAUCUCUUGGAAAUGGUACCUGCUUUAGAGCAUAAUUUUUCUGAAUAUAAAAAAGGUAUUGUGAUUUUCUUUUGCCUGAAAAAAGCUGGAGACUUUUGCCUGUUUUAAGACCUGCUUUUAUUAACUCCUUAUUAACCCAGUUGAAAUUGCUGACUUUUCAAAGUCAGGAAUUCUCGUGGGUUUGCCUCCAAUUUUGGGCCUUUCUUCUCUUUUAAUCAUACUCAGGCCCAGGUUGAGUUUUGAAACUGUGGGCUGAUUUUCCUUUUUUGAAGCCCAAAUAACAGUUUUUGGGCUGGGCCUUCUUGGAUUUGGGCUUUUGAAUUCAAAUGCAAAGCCUAAUCUGCUUGGGGCCUGAAAUUGCUUCGUUAUUCUGGGCUUCCAGUGUUGGGCUGAGUGUGUAAUUUUGACAUGGGCUUUUAAUAUUUGGACUGGGUGUGCCAAAUUUAGGCCCAAACAGCUGCAAAGAGUAUUAGGCCCAAAUGGGAUUAGGUCCUAACACGUGACUCCGGCCAUGGCAAGCCUUGGUCCCACCACCACCUCUCCUCUCAAGGUCAGCAUAUCCUUCAUUCCUUUCUUGACCCACAAUUUGAUUCUUCUAAACUAGAUGAGCAGCUUUUGGGUUUCGUUGAAUUGCAUAGAGAUGAAUUUGGUUCUAGGUUGGACUCUCUAUCUCUGGACGCCCUGGGUAUUGUUAGAGCAUCUCCAAUCGAUAUGUCAAAAGUGCCACAUAGACAUUUAACGGCUAUAAAUAACAUCUCACAUCACUCCAACUGAAUUGUCAAAGCUGAUGUGGAAUGAAGGUUGGAGGUUCAGCUGUUAUUUUUGACAUUCCAAAAACAAAAUGUCAAAUGAAUAUUUUAUUAUUUUUAAAGACAACUGGCUGUUACUUUCAUUUAUAAUUUUACUUUUUUAUUUUUUUCUUCUUUAUCUUUAAUGAUUUGAUUGUUACAAUAAUUAUUUAUUUGACAUAUCGGGUGGAGUGUAAGACUGUUUAAAUAUCAAAUUGCCACAUCAGCUAUCAAAUUUAAAUUUGAUGUUUGGUAUUUGACAUCUCCCCAGGAGAUGCUCUUAAAGGUUUAGUAUUCUAACAAAAGUGGGCAGGGUUUCUUCUGCAACUUCUUUGUUUCAGAGUUUGCAUAAGGAUGGGUUUUCUCCAAGCGUUGUGUCUUAUGCAAGAGAUGGUUUAUUGGAAGAGGCAAUAAACAUUUCCAUUUCUGAUUCUUAUAACUUGUUAUCGCUGCGGGCAUUGAGUAAGAUGGGUUGAUGUUGUGAGAGCUAAGUUAAUAUCAUGCCCUCGAUCAUUUUCUUGCAAGUAUGAAUAGAUGUGAUUGCUCUUUGCAUAAUUGCAUGCAAUAUGCAAUAUGGGUUGAUGUUGUGAUUGCUCUUUGAAUAGGUGAGGAAAUGAAAGGGACAGGGAAGGACUUUUGAGUAGGCAAUCAAUCAUUAUAUAUUAACCUACAGGGAAUGUACUUAACCAUACAAUAUUUGCAGCAGAAUAUAGCAUAAACUAAAAUACACUGCAAGCUUUAACUUCUAUCACUUUGCACCUCACCGCUUAUGUUUCGUCAUUAUCAAAACAGCUAACCAGUUGAGUAGUUCAUAAAGAAGAUUUGGAAUUUCAUGGUCAGUCAAACUACUCAAAACUGGAAUUCGACCUCACAGUGUACUCUGCCACAAGCUGAGCAAACGAUGACGACUUGUUCUCUAGCAAUGUCGCAGGAGAAUCAUAUUCCUCAAUGAGCCCUACAACAAGAACAAAGAUACAUUAAAAAAUGAAUAAGAAUUUGAGCUUCAGUGGUAACUAGAGGAAGUUGAAUGCAUUCAUUUGGCAACACUAACCAUGACUCAGAAGCAGAACCAUGUCACUAUCAAGAACAGAAGUUAUACGAUGUGCAAUGGUGAUGACUGUACAGUCAGUAAAGUGUUGGCGAAGGGUCUGCUGGAUGAGAUUAUCUGUAGCUGUAUCGACCGACGCGGUAGCUUCGUCAAGCACCAAGACCUUACUUUUCUUGAGCAGCACACGGCCAAGGCAGACCAACUGCCUCUGACCCAUACUCCAGUUCUCUCCAUUCUCACUAACUGCAGCAACCAUAUGAAACAUAAACAAAAGAAUUUCCAUGACGUAAAAUGAAAUCUAGUGCAUCAUAUAUAGCCUGUAUCUUAGAGUAGCCAUAGAACAAACCUGUGGCAUCCAGCUUUCCUUCCUUUCUCCUAACUUCAUCUCCAAGUUGACACUUAUCCAGGGCCUGAAAAAAUCAAAAGAUGUUUUAACUAGUCCCAUGAAUUUAGCACUGCAAAUCUAUAAAUGAAGAACAUUUAGUAGGAAGAAGAUUCCUUUCAUCAGUGUAAAACCAACCAACCUCCCAAAUUUGCUCAUCUGUGUACUCUUCAAGUGGGUCCAGAUUGCUUCUUACAGUCCCUUCAAACAUGGUUGGGUCCUGAGGGAUAAUGCUCAGCCUAGACCUUAGAUCAUGCAGUCCAAUUGAAGAUAUAUCAAUACCAUCUAUCAAAAUCUGGCCAGAAGCAGGAUCCACAAUUCGGAAAAGGGUCUGUAUGACAGUCGUUUUGCCACUGCCAGUUCUACCCACAAUCCCAGUUUUCAUUCCUCCAGGAAAGCUACAUGUGAUACCUCGCAACACAAGUGGCAUGUGUGGGGCAUACCGGACCUAUAUAAACAUGAAAUUCGAGUCACACAUGAAUGACCCCAUACGUUAUGAAAGAAAUAAACCAGAACAGCAAGUACCUGAAGAUCAUGUAUGUCAACUUUUCCACGUAAUGGCCAAGAACGAUCUGGCUGAUUGGAUUCUAUUACAAGAGGAGGCUCACUGGGAAUGGUAGUGUACUGUAGUAAUCUCUCCACUGAUAUAAUUCUGUUCUCCACAUUGCAAAGAUUCCAUGUAAACCACGACUGUAACGUGUUUAGAUUAAGUCCAUAUGUGACAGCUAAGCCCGCAACACCUUCAGAGUAAAAUACCAAAAACAAAUAAGAAAAGAGAGAACUCAUAGAUUUGCUUUACCAUUUGCUUUCAAAAGAAUAAUUAGUAACACGCUAAAUGAAUGCCACUUGCCUGGAUCAAUCACCCCUUCUGGAAUAGAGAUCAAGAAAACCAAACAGAAUCCAAAAGUUAUAGAUGACAACAUAUCCAAGCGAAAACAUAGCCACUCCAUUGCAGCCGCAGUAUGAAACUUAGGCCGACCAUAACCAUCCAUCAGUUUCAUGUUUGUAUCCCUAAAUCUUGAUUCUUGAUCGAAGCUCCUAAUAGUUGUCGACCCUGAAAUUGUUUCAGCAAAGUGUUGUAUCACUGGAGCUUUGCAUACUCCAACCAACCGUGCCAGUUCUCGUGCUGAAGGUAUGUAGUAUUGCUGCAUGAAUAUAAAAAUUUUGAGCAUCUUUCUUCACAUUUAACAUAGUUCAUAUAGAUUGCUGGCUGUAAUAGGAGUUAGGUUUGUUAUAUGGAUUCAUAUUGUCAAUCAUGUUCCAUGUUGUGCCAAUUUAGAAGUUUCUAAGAACUGUAGCAGAAAAAGGUGGAAGAAAAUGUUAAUAUAUCAACUUAGUGAACUUUUGUGUCAAUAAGGAAGCCAAGUUCCUCAGUUCCACAUCAAAUAGAAGGUAGAGCAUGUAUAGGAAUGAAUAACGAGCAUCAACAGUGCAUGAUCAACAAAGAAUUAACACUAAAGGGACAUUAACAUUUCCAUGUUAGAUUUCAUGUGGAAAUUCAUGUAUUGAUACAACAUAUAAGAGAGAAGCAGUAGGACAAAGAAGCGUUACCUGUAACCAGAUACAGAUUGCAAUCACAGGGAUAAAAAUGAUGAAAACCUGCCGUGCAACUUGCGAGAUCACUGCAAUAAUUCCCAGAAGAUGGAUCGAUGAGUUGGCAAGGGCCCCAAUUUGACCCGGCAUGUUCAAGUCCACUACAUUUUGGUCUGUAGAAGCCUGCAAGAAAUCAAUUAGCUACAUUGAUGAGAUUACUGCAUUCAGUACAGCAGCAGAGGGAGUGGUAGCUGUUUAAAGCAUCUAAUUCUCUUUGAAUAUCCCAAUAAGGCACUAUAUUAGAAAUAUAUUUUGCUUACUCUGUUUAGGAUUCGUCCACUUGGAGUGGCAUCAAAGAAAGACAUGGGAGCACGGAAAACGCAUGAAUGCAUUUUACUAAAGAGUAGAGUGGCUGUCUUGUACCCAGCUGUUGCAAGAAACAUGGAUCUGAAGAGGAUACAAAAAGAACUUCCAACGGCCAAAGCAACAUAAACAGUUAGAAGUGUAGAGGUUUGAACAGCAGGUUUCACAUCCUCUGAAACAGGAGUUGCCCAAGCCAUCCAGUAAUUGCUUCCAAUUUGAAGGACCUGAAAGAGAACCUGUGCAAGCAAGAUAAACGGAACAAGAGCACCUCCGUAUGCUGUGGUGAUGUACUUCCAGUAGACUGACAACCCAACUCUACCUUUCUCUCUCUCUUCUUCUUGAACAAGCUGC
rnacentral:lncRNA from 1 species